rnacentral:rRNA from 1 species
AUUGAACGCUGGCGGCAGGCCUAACACAUGCAAGUCGAGCGAGCGGCGGACGGGUGAGUAAUGUCUGGGGACUGCCCGAUCGAGGGGGAUAACUACUGGAAACGGUAGCUAAUACCGCAUACUAUCGGAUAACCCAUAUGGGAUUAGCUAGUAGGUGAGGUAAUGGCUCACCUAGUCGACGCUCCCUAGCUGGUCUGAGCGGAUGAUCAGCAACACUGGGACUGAGACACGGGCCAGACUCCUACGGAGGCAGCAGUGGGGAAUAUUGCACAAUGGGCGCAAGCCGGAGGCAGCCAUGCCGCGUGUAUGAAGAAGGCCCUAGGGUUGUAAAGUACUUUCAGUCGGGAGGCGUUACCGACAGAAGAAGCACCGGCUAACUCCGUGCCAGCAGCCGCGGUAAUAC